UAUUUCAAUCACAAAUUACAAAAAGAAAACGAGUGUGCUUUAGACUACAGGACAGAAGUUCAACUUCUUUAGCUUCAUCUUACUUAUAUCUCCUUCUCAACUUCCAUUUGC